AACGGUCUAUACCUGCGGUACCUGCGGAAGGAUCAUUACUGAAGUUACCUUCUAAAACCAUCAUGUGAACCUUACCCCUGCCGCGCUGUUGCCUCGGCGGGACGCCGGAGCCCCGGCUCCGGCGCCGCCGGCAGCGCCAAACUCUACCUUGAAACAGCGGAAACGCACUCUGAUUUAGAAGCGAAAACAAGUCAAAACUUUCAACAAUGGAUCUCU
rnacentral:misc_RNA from 1 species